AGGUGCGAUCAUAUCAGCACUAAUGCACCGGAUCCCAUCAGAACUCCGCAGUUAAGCGUGCUUGGGCGAGAGUAGUACUAGGAUGGGUGUCCUCCUGGGAA
rnacentral:rRNA from 1 species